AGUGAACGCUGGCGGUAGGCCUAACACAUGCAAGUCGAACGGCAGCACAGUAAGAGCUUGCUCUUACGGGUGGCGAGUGGCGGACGGGUGAGGAAUACAUCGGACUCUACUUUUUCGUGGGGGAUAACGUAGGGAAACUUACGCUAAUACCGCAUACGACCUACGGGUGAAAGCAGGGGAUCUUCGGACCUUGCGCGAUUGAAUGAGCCGAUGUCGGAUUAGCUAGUUGGCGGGGUAAAGGCCCACCAAGGCGACGAUCCGUAGCUGGUCUGAGAGGAUGAUCAGCCACACUGGAACUGAGACACGGUCCAGACUCCUACGGGAGGCAGCAGUGGGGAAUAUUGGACAAUGGGCGCAAGACUGAUCCAGCCAUACCGCGUGGGUGAAGAAGGCCUUCGGGUUGUAAAGCCCUUUUGUUGGGAAAGAAAAGCAGCAGGUUAAUACCCCGCUGUUCUGACGGUACCCAAAGAAUAAGCACCGGCUAACUUCGUG
rnacentral:rRNA from 1 species